rnacentral:lncRNA from 7 species
CCUGACCUCCCCAGGUUGCGGCGUUGGACGUGCCCUGAUCCUUGGAAAGGGGUGGCAGUGGAGUGUUGUGACACUCCUGCGCGCUGCAAGGGCUCUACUGAGGCUCUUGGUGGACACAGCAG